UGAACGUGAGAGCCAACUGAAAAUCUCACCAAUGCGCCACAAAAGGUACAGGAGUUUCAUCAACAACAUCCUCAUAAACCUAAGCCGGUUCGACAAUAGCUUCUUUCUAAAGCUUGCUUACCCAAGAAUAUAAGAAAGGGAGACAGCACCACCAAAAUUCGUAGUUGAUGUAGUUAUUUUCUCAAAGAUAAAAUAGAAUUUUUUCAGUAGUCAUAGUUUGGUCUUCUGAUAUGGAUAGCCAAGAAAUAGAUACUAUGCCAGUCAGAUUAUCUCAACCAACUAGUUCACGAAGGUGACCCCGCGAUGAAGAACCACUUG
rnacentral:lncRNA from 1 species